rnacentral:tRNA from 1 species
AAAUAAGAAACAAAUAAUUGUAUUUAGUUUCGACCUAAAAUUUUGAUGGCCAUCAUCCUUAUUUU